AAUCAACGCUGGCGGCGUGCCUAACACAUGCAAGUCGAACGCGAGAGGGGCUUCGGCCCCGAUUGAGUGGCGAACGGGUGAGUAACGCGUGGGUGACCUACCUUCGAGUGGGGGAUAACGUCCCGAAAGGGACGCUAAUACCGCAUAACAUCCUGCUUUUGAAUGGGUGGAGAUCAAAGCCGGGGAUCGCAAGACCUGGCGCUUGAUGAGGGGCCCGCGUCUGAUUAGCUAGUUGGUGAGGUAACGGCCCACCAAGGCAACGAUCAGUAUCCGGCCUGAGAGGGCGGACGGACACACUGGGACUGAGACACGGGCCCAGACUCCUACGGGAGGCAGCAGUGGGGAAUUGUUCGCAAUGGGCGCAAGCCUGACGACGCAACGCCGCGUGGAGGAUGAAGGUCUUCGGAUUGUAAACUCCUGUUGCCCGGGACGAUGGCUCCGACCUAACACGUCGGAGUGUGACGGUACCGGGUGAGGAAGCCCCGGCUAACUCUGUGCCAGCAGCCG
rnacentral:rRNA from 1 species